GGUGAGACGAAUUCGUAUUUGACUCGUGGCGAAAGAAAAGCUUCGGCAAUUUGGCGUGCGCAAGCGCACGCGACUGCUACCGAUUAUAUCCGAAACCGUGUCGCCUUUUUGUUGGUUGAUGACCAUUUGCGUCGGUGGCGAAACCGGAAUAAAAGCGAUUCCAUCUGAGUUCUCCUUACAGAGAUCGACAGUCGUUAGUCAAAUGAAAAUCGAUCGAUCUCGAAUGUUUCUUUAUGUCUUCAUUAAUCAUAUAGACCAAUGAGAAAGAUACUUCAAUUGAAACCAGAGGGGUCGAGUGUAAGGAGUUCCCGAAGGAAUUGGCCGCGACGAAAGUCGACGACUCGUGGGAAAGUUAAGGGGCGCCAACCGUUUUUGAAGCGGAGA